AACGAACGCUGGCGGCAGGCUUAACACAUGCAAGUCGAGCGCCCCGCAAGGGGAGCGGCAGACGGGUGAGUAACGCGUGGGAAUCUACCCAUCUCUACGGAAUAACGCAUGGAAACGUGUGCUAAUACCGUAUACGUCCUUCGGGAGAAAGAUUUAUCGGAGAUGGAUGAGCCCGCGUUGGAUUAGCUAGUUGGUGGGGUAAAGGCCUACCAAGGCGACGAUCCAUAGCUGGUCUGAGAGGAUGAUCAGCCACACUGGGACUGAGACACGGCCCAGACUCCUGCGGGAGGCAGCAGUGGGGAAUAUUGGACAAUGGGCGCAAGCCUGAUCCAGCCAUGCCGCGUGAGUGAUGAAGGCCCCAGGGUUGUAAAGCUCUUUCACCGGUGAAGAUAAUGACGGUAACCGGAGAAGAAGCCCCGGCUAACUUCGUGCCAGCCGCCGCGGUAAUAC
rnacentral:rRNA from 1 species